GACGAACGCUGGCGGCGUGCUUAACACAUGCAAGUCGAACGGAAAGGCCCUGCUUGCAGUGUACUCGCGUGGCGAACGGGUGAGUAACACGUGGGUGAUCUGCCCUGCACUUCGGGAUAAGCCUGGUCAACUGGGUCUAAUACCUGCUAGGUGCCAUUUUUAGUGUGAUGGUUGGAAAGUUUUUUCGGUGUAUGAUGAGUUCGCGGCCUAUCGGCUUGUUGGUGGGGUAAUUGCCUACCAAGGCGGCGACGGGUAGCCGGCCUGAGGGGGUGGACGGCCACACUGGGACCGAGAGAAGGCCCAGACACCGACGGGAGGCAGAAGUGGGGAAGAUUGCACAAGGGGCGCAAGCCGGAUGCAGAGACGCCGCGGGGGGGAUGACGGCCUUAGGGUGGAAAAAUCAUUGCGCUAGGGACGAAGCUUUUUGUGACGGUACCUAGAGAAGAAGCACCGGCUAACUACGUG
rnacentral:rRNA from 1 species